rnacentral:rRNA from 1 species
UGAGGAAUAUUGGGCAAUGCCCGCAAGGGUGACCCAGCUACGCCGCGUGGAGGAUGAAUGUCGUAAGAUUGUAAACUCCUGUUAGAGGGGAAGAAUAGUACCGGUUGGACCGGUAUAUGACUGUACCCUCAGAGAAAGCCCCGGCUAACUACGUGCCAGCAGCCGCGGUAAUACGUAGGGGGCAAGCGUUGUCCGGAUUUACUGGGUGUAAAGGGCGCGCAGGCGGGAUAAAAAGUCAGUGGUGAAAUCCUACAGCUUAACUGUAGAACUGCCUUUGAUACUUUUAUUCUUGAGUUCGGGAGAGAGAGACGGAAUUCCAGGUGUAGUGGUGAAAUACGUAGAUAUCUGGAAGAACACCAGUUGCGAAGGCGGUCUCUUGGUCCGACACUGACGCUGAGGCGCGAAAGCGUGGGGAGCAAACA